rnacentral:rRNA from 1 species
UACGUAGGGGGCAAGCGUUGUCCGGAAUUAUUGGGCGUAAAGCGCGCGCAGGCGGUCAUGUAAGUCUGGUGUUUAAUCCCGGGGCUCAACCCCGGAUCGCACUGGAAACUGCGUGACUUGAGUGCAGAAGAGGAGAGUGGAAUUCCACGUGUAGCGGUGAAAUGCGUAGAGAUGUGGAGGAACACCAGUGGCGAAGGCGACUCUCUGGGCUGUAACUGACGCUGAGGCGCGAAAGCUAGGGGAGCAAACGGG